rnacentral:snRNA from 1 species
GGGAAAUCAGGCUACAGCAUCUAUCACCCCAUUGAUUAUCAAAAUAGAUUUGGCUCAUCUGGCUUGCUAGAUGGGUAUCUUUUUCCC